GAUGAACGCUGGCGGCGUGCCUAAUACAUGCAAGUCGAGCGAACGGACGAGAAGCUUGCUUCUCUGAUGUUAGCGGCGGACGGGUGAGUAACACGUGGAUAACCUACCUAUAAGACUGGGAUAACUUCGGGAAACCGGAGCUAAUACCGGAUGAUAUUUUGAACCGCAUGGUUCAAAAGUGAAAGACGGUCUUGCUGUCACUUAUAGAUGGAUCCGCGCUGCAUUAGCUAGUUGGUAAGGUAACGGCUUACCAAGGCAACGAUGCAUAGCCGACCUGAGAGGGUGGUCGACCACACUGGAACUGAGACACGGUCCAGACUCCUACGGGAGGCAGCAGUAGGGAAUCUUCCGCAAUGGGCGAAAGCCUGACGGAGCAACGCCGCGUGAGUGAUGAAGGUCUUCGGAUCGUAAAACUCUGUUAUUAGGGAAGAACAUAUGUGUAAGUAACUGUGCACAUCUUGACGGUACCUAAUCAGAAAGCCACGGCUAACUACGUG
rnacentral:rRNA from 1 species